rnacentral:tRNA from 2 species
GCAGAGAUAGCGAAGCUCGGUCAAACGUGCUGGCUUCAGGGGCCAGUGGCUUAGGCCUUCGGGGGUUCAAAUCCCCCUCUCUGCA